rnacentral:piRNA from 1 species
UCUGGCAGCUCUCACUUUCACAAUGCCC